AAUCCAUACAAGUAUUUUCUAU
rnacentral:miRNA from 1 species